rnacentral:rRNA from 1 species
GCUGGCAACCCGGCGCCAAGACGUGCGCGCAAGGGCGGGCGCCCGCGGGCGAGCAGCGUGACGCAGCGACGGCCCGCCCGGGCUUCCGGGGCAUCACCCGGUCGGCGCGGUCGCGGCGCGCCGAGGGCCCGACGCCUGGCGGAGAAUCAGGGUUCGACUCCGGAGAGCGGGCCUGAGAGACGGCCCGCACAUCCAAGGACGGCAGCAGGCGCGGAACUUGCCCAAUGCGCGCGCGCGAGGCAGCGACGGGGAGUGCGCGAGCGAGGCGGGCCCACAGCCCCCGCCGCGGAGCCGAGGGCAAGGACUGGUGCCAGCAGCCGCGGUAAUUCCAGCUCGGCGGGCGUCGCGUGGCGCUGCUGCAGUUAAAACGCCCGUAGUUGGCCCCCCGCCGCCACGAGGAAACGGGAGCGCUCCAGGCAGGCCCGUUGGACCCGCCGCGUGGGACCGCGCAGCGGGCGCGGCGCGCCGCGGCAGCCCCGAGGAGAG